AUAAAGGCUCUUUUCAGAGCCACAUCCAUUGUCAGAGAAAGCUGU
rfam:Camelus ferus unplaced genomic scaffold scaffold595, whole genome shotgun sequence.